GAGGGAGAGAGAGAGAGAGAGAGAGAGUGGGACCCGUACCGACUCUCUCCAGUUUGUCUACAUCUUUCCUGUGGCCCCAGAAUUGGAAACAGUACUCCAGCUGCGGCCUCACAAGAUUACUGGAAUUGUUCCAGACUGCCAAACCUCCUGACUGCUUAGAAGGAAGUAUUAUUAUUAACUAUAUAUGCGGUGGUAAUGCCCAUAGGCCCCAACCAGGAUGGCAGCUGCUACACCUAAUCCCUGCAUGAAAAACUAAGAAAAAACAGA